GUUGUAUAGUCAAGUAAUUAAGUGCAUGUGGUGGAUGCCUUGGCAGUCAGAGGCGAUGAAAGACGUGAUAGCCUGCGAAAAGCUCCGGGGAGGCGGCAAAUAUCCUUUGAUCCGGAGAUGUCUGAAUGGGGGAACCCACCUACUUUAAGGUAGGUAUUGCAACAUGAAUACAUAGUGUUGCAAGGCGAACGAGGGGAAGUGAAACAUCUCAGUACCCUUAGGAAAAGAAAUCAAUUGAGAUUCCCUCAGUAGCGGCGAGCGAACGGGGAUCAGCCCAUUAAGUUAUGUGUGUUUUAGUGGAACGCUCUGGGAAGUGCGAACGUAGAGGGUGAUAUUCCCGUACACGAAAGGGCACACAUAAUGAUGACGAGUAGGGCGAGGCACGUGAAACCUUGUCUGAAUAUGGGGGGACCAUCCUCCAAGGCUAAAUACUCCUGACUGACCGAUAGUGAACCAGUACCGUGAGGGAAAGGCGAAAAGAACCCCUGUGAGGGGAGUGAAAUAGAUCCUGAAACCGCAUGCAUACAAGCAGUGGGAGCACCUUCGUGGUGUGACUGCGUACCUUUUGUAUAAUGGGUCAGCGACUUAUAUUCAGUAGCAAGGUUAACCGUAUAGGGGAGCCGUAGAGAAAUCGAGUCUUAAUAGGGCGUUUAGUUGCUGGGUAUAGACCCGAAACCAGGCGAUCUAUCCAUGAGCAGGUUGAAGGUUGGGUAACACUAACUGGAGGACCGAACCCACUGUCGUUGAAAAGCCAGGGGAUGACUUGUGGAUAGGGGUGAAAGGCUAAUCAAGCCUGGUGAUAGCUGGUUCUCCCCGAAAGCUAUUUAGGUAGCGCCUCGGACGAAUACCAUAGGGGGUAGAGCACUGUUUCGGCUAGGGGGUCAUCCCGACUUACCAAACCGAUGCAAACUCCGAAUACCUAUGAGUACUAUCCGGGAGACAGACUGCGGGUGCUAACGUCCGUAGUCAAGAGGAAAACAAUCCAGACCGCCAGCUAAGGCCCCAAAAUCAUAGUUAAGUGGGAAACGAUGUGGGAAGGCAUAGACAGCUAGGAGGUUGGCUUAGAAGCAGCCACCCUUUAAAGAAAGCGUAAUAGCUCACUAGUCGAGUCGGCCUGCGCGGAAGAUGUAACGGGGCUAAAACUAUGUGCCGAAGCUGCGGAUGUAUGCUGGAGGUAUCAGAAGUGCGAAUGCUGACGUGAGUAACGACAAAACGGGUGAAAAACCCGUUCGCCGAAAGACCAAGGGUUCCAGUCCAACGUUAAUCGGGGCUGGGUGAGUCGACCCCUAAGGCGAGGCCGAAAGGCGUAGUCGAUGGGAAAAUGGUUAAUAUUCCAUUACUUCUGUGUAAUGCGAUGAGAGGACGGAGAAGGCUAAAUCAGCCUGGCGUUGGUUGUCCAGGUGAAAGGAUGUAGGCAUGUAUCUUAGGCAAAUCCGGGGUACUCUAUGCUGAGAUCUGAUAGCAAGCUGUACUUGUACAGCGAAGUGGUUGAUGCCAUGCUUCCAGGAAAAGUCUCUAAGCUUCAGUUACACAGGAAUCGUACCCGAAACCGACACAGGUGGUCAGGUCGAGUAGACCAAGGCGCUUGAGAGAACUCUGCUGAAGGAACUAGGCAAAAUGGUACCGUAACUUCGGGAGAAGGUACGCUGUUGUUGGUGAUGGAACUCGCUUCCUGAGCUGACGACAGCCGCAGAAACCAGGCCGCUGCAACUGUUUAUUAAAAACAUAGCACUCUGCAAACACGAAAGUGGACGUAUAGGGUGUGAUGCCUGCCCGGUGCUGGAAGGUUAAUUGAUGGGGUUAGCGUAAGCGAAGCUCUUGAUCGAAGCCCCAGUAAACGGCGGCCGUAACUAUAACGGUCCUAAGGUAGCGAAAUUCCUUGUCGGGUAAGUUCCGACCUGCACGAAUGGCAUAAUGAUGGCGGCGCUGUCUCCAGCAGAGGCUCAGUGAAAUCGAAAUCGCUGUGAAGAUGCAGUGUACCCGCGGCUAGACGGAAAGACCCCGUGAACCUUUACUGCAGCUUGACACUGAACUUUGACCUUACUUGUGUAGGAUAGGUGGGAGGCUUUGAAGCUGGAACGCUAGUUCCAGUGGAGCCGUCCUUGAAAUACCACCCUGGUAAUGUUGAGGUUCUAACUCUGUCCCGUGAUCCGGGACGAGGACCGUGUCUGGUGGGUAGUUUGACUGGGGCGGUCUCCUCCUAAAGAGUAACGGAGGAGUACGAAGGUGCGCUCAGCGUGGUCGGAAAUCACGCGUAGAGUAUAAAGGCAAAAGCGCGCUUAACUGCGAGACCCACAAGUCGAGCAGGUACGAAAGUAGGUCUUAGUGAUCCGGUGGUUCUGUAUGGAAGGGCCAUCGCUCAACGGAUAAAAGGUACUCUGGGGAUAACAGGCUGAUACCGCCCAAGAGUUCAUAUCGACGGCGGUGUUUGGCACCUCGAUGUCGGCUCAUCUCAUCCUGGGGCUGAAGCAGGUCCCAAGGGUAUGGCUGUUCGCCAUUUAAAGAGGUACGCGAGCUGGGUUUAGAACGUCGUGAGACAGUUCGGUCCCUAUCUACCGUGGGCGCUGGAAAUUUGAGAGGAUCUGCUCCUAGUACGAGAGGACCAGAGUGGACGAACCUCUGGUGUACCGGUUGUGACGCCAGUCGCAUCGCCGGGUAGCUAUGUUCGGAAGGGAUAACCGCUGAAAGCAUCUAAGCGGGAAGCCUACCUCAAGAUAAGAUUUCCCUAGGACUUUAUGUCCUCUAAAGAGCCGUUCGAGACUAGGACGUUGAUAGGUUGGAUGUGGAAGCAUAGUGAUAUGUGAAGCUGACCAAUACUAAUUGCUCGUGAGGCUUGACUAUACAACACCCAAGCAGUUG
rnacentral:rRNA from 1 species